rnacentral:rRNA from 1 species
UGGCUCAGAUCGAACGCUGGCGGCGUGGCUAAGGCAUGCAAGUCGAACGCGAAAGUGACCCUUCGGGGAAGCGAUGUAGAGUGGCGAAAGGGCGAUGGAACACAUGGUGAACGUACCUUUGGCUCGGGGAUAGCUGUGGGAAACCGCAGGUAAUACCCGACAUCGCGGAAACGUGAAAGCCGGGGAUCGAAAGACCUGGCGGCCAGAGAGCGGUCCAUGUCCUAUCAGCUUGUUGGUGAGGUAACUGUGCUCACCAAGGCGACGACGGGUACCGGGGCUGAGAGGUUGACCCGGCGCAUCGGGACUGAGACACUGGCCGGACUCCUACGGGAGGCUGCAGCACCGAAUAUUCCACAAUGGGCGAAUGCCUGAUGGAGCGACGCCGCGUGUGGGAGUAAGCCCUUCGGGGUGUAAACCACUGUCAGGGAUCACCAAGCGACCGGGGCGAACAGUCCCGGAAGUUGAGGAGUCCCAGAGGAAGUCACGGCUAACUUCGUGCCAGCAGCCGUGGUAAGACGAAGGUGGCGAGCGUUGUUCGGAAUUACUGGGCUUAAAGAGCACGUACGUGGGCUUGCAAGCGUCUUGUGAAAGCCCCCGGCUUAACCGGGGAAUUGCAGGGCGAACUGCCAGCCUUGAGGCAGGUAAGGGCGAGUGGAACUCUUGGUGGAGCGGUGGAAUGCGUAGAUAUCAAGAGGAACGCCGGAGGUGAAGACGACUCGCUGGGCCUGUCCUGACACUGAGGUGCGAAAGCCAGGGGAGCAAACGGGAUUAGAUACCCCGGUAGUCCUGGCCUUAAACGAUGUCCACUAGGUCGGAGGCCUUCUGACAGGCUUCUGGCUGCAAGGAAACCAUUAAGUGGACCGCCUGGGGAGUACGGUCGCAAGGCUAAAACUCAAAGGAAUUGACGGGGGCUCACACAAGCGGUGGAGCAUGUUGCUCAAUUAGAUGCAACGCGAAGAACCUUAUCCUGGGCAUGACAUGUUCGGAUGCCUCCACUGGAAACAGGGUUGGUUGCCCUUCGGGGUGAAACGUUCACAGGUGCUGCAUGGCGGUCGUCAGCUCGUAUCGUGAGAUGUUGGGUUAAGUCCCGUAACGAGCGAAACCCUUGUCGCUAGUUGCCAGCGAGUUAUGUCGGGGACUCUAGCGAGACUGCCGGUGUCAAACCGGAGGAAGAUGGGGAUGACGUCAAGUCCUCAUGGCCUUUAUGCACCAGGGCUGCAAACGUGCUACAAUGGAUGAUACAAACCGACGCAAGACCGUGAGGUGGAGCAAAUCGGAUAAAAACAGCCCCAGUUCGGAUUACAGUGUGCAAAUCGACUGUAUGAAGUUGGAAUCGCUAGUAAUCGCAGAUCAGCAAUACUGCGGUGAAUGCGUUCCUGAGCCUUGUACACACCGCCCGUCAAGUCAUGA